GAUGAACGCUGGCGGCGUGCCUAAUACAUGCAAGUCGAGCGAACAGAUGAGGAGCUUGCUCCUCUGACGUUAGCGGCGGACGGGUGAGUAACACGUGGAUAACCUACCUAUAAGACUGGGAUAACUUCGGGAAACCGGAGCUAAUACCGGAUAAUAUAUUGAACCGCAUGGUUCAAUAGUGAAAGACGGUUUUGCUGUCACUUAUAGCUGGAUCCGCGCCGCAUUAGCUAGUUGGUAAGGUCACGGCUUACCAAGGCAACGAUGCGUAGCCGAACUGAGAGAGGGAUCGGCCACACUGGAACUGGACCACGGUCCAGACGCCUACGGGAGGCAGCAGUAGGGAAUCUUCCGCAAUGGGGGAAAGCCUGACGGAGCAACGCGGCGUGAGUGAUGAAGGUCUUCGGAUCGGAAAACUCUGUUAUUGGGGAAGAACAAAUGUGUAAGUAACUAUGCACGUCUUGACGGUACCUAAUCAGAAAGCCACGGCUAACUACGUG
rnacentral:rRNA from 1 species